AGGGUUUGAUCCUGGCUCAGAGUGAACGCUGGCGGCGUGGAUUAGGCAUGCAAGUCGAGCGAACCUUUUACUGAAAGCAGAGCAACCUUCGGGGAGUUUUACAAUUGGUGUUUGGUUAGCGGCAAACCGGUGAGUAACACGUGGGUAACAUGCCUUAUGGAGGGGGAUAGCCUCGAGAAAUCGAGGGUAAUACCCCAUGGUCCCUAGACUUGAAAUAGGUUAGGGUAAAGAUGGCCUCUACUUGUAAGCUAUCACCAUAAGAGUGGCUCGCGGCCUAUCAGGUUGUUGGUGGGGUAAUGGCCUACCAAGCCUAAGACGGGUAGCUGGCUUAAGAGAGUGGUCAGCCACAUCGGAACUAGACACUGUCCGGACUCCUACGGGAGGCUGCAGUCGAGAAUAUUUCCCAAUGGGCGAAAGCCUGAGGAUGCGACGCCGCGUGAGGGAUGAAGGUCUUCGGAUCGUAAACCUCUUUUGUUAGGGAGAAAAGCCAAGCUUUGAAUAAUUGUCUUGGUCUGACUGUACCUGACGAAUAAGCCGCGGCUAACUCCGUGCCAGCAGCCGCGGUAAUACGGAGGUGGCAAGCGUUACUCGGUUUGACUGGGUGUAAAGGGUCCGUAGGCGGCCUGGUAAGUGGAAGGUGAAAUACUUUAGCUCAACUAAAGAACUGCCUCUCAAACUGCCUGGCUAGAGGAUGGAAGAGGAAAGCGGAACUGCUAGUGUAAAGGUGAAAUUUGUGGAUAUUAGCAGGAACGCCUGUGGAGAAGUCGGCUUUCUGGUCCAUUCCUGACGCUGAGGGACGAAAGCUAGGGUAGCAAACAGGAUUAGAUGCCCUGGUAGUCCUAGCUGUAAACGAUGGGCACUAGGUGUUUGCGCUUUAUGCGUGGGUGCCGGAGUUAACAUGUUAAGUGCCCCACCUGGGGACUACGGCCGCAAGGCUAAAACUCAAAGGAAUUGACGGGGGCCCGCACAAGCGGUGGAACACGUGGUUUAAUUCGAUGCUACGCGAGGAACCUUACCAGGGUUUGACAUGCUGGAAGUAGUGCUGCGAAAGCAGUUCCGACCUGUAACCAAUCAGGAACCAGCACAGGUGCUGCAUGGUUGUCGUCAGCUCGUGCCGUGAGGUGUUCCCUUAAGUGGGAAAACGAGCGCAACCCUCGCUAUUUGUUGCUACCGGUCUUGUUUACAAGAUCGCGCACUCUAAUGGGACUGCCCGCGUUAAGUGGGAGGAAGGUGGGAACGACGUCAAAUCCGCAUGGCCCUUAUAUCCUGGGCUACACACGUGUUACAAUGCUUACUACAGAGGGAGGCCAAGCCGCGAGGUGGAGCAAAUCCUUUAAAAGUAAGCCCAGUUCGGAUUGAAGGCUGCAACUCGCCUUCAUGAAGUUGGAAUCGCUAGUAAUGGCAUAUCAGCUACGAUGCCGUGAAUACGUUCCCGGGCCUUGUACACACCGCCCGUCAAGCGCUGAAAGUGGGGGGCACCCGAAGCUCUACAUUGUAGGUCCACGGUGAAUUUCAUGAUUGGCGCUAAGUCGUAACAAGGUA
rnacentral:rRNA from 1 species